CUUGCUCCCUGAUGUUACGGCGGACGGGUGAGUACACGUGGGUACCUGCCUGUAAGACUGGGAUAACUCCGGGAAACCGGGGCUAAUACCGGAUGCUUGUUUGAACCGCAUGGUUCAAACAUAAAAGGUGGCUUCGGCUACCACUUACAGAUGGACCCGCGGCGCAUUAGCUAGUUGGUGAGGUAAUGGCUCACCAAGGCAACGAUGCGUAGCCGACCUGAGAGGGUGAUCGGCCACACUGGGACUGAGACACGGCCCAGACUCCUACGGGAGGCAGCAGUAGGGAAUCUUCCGCAAUGGACGAAAGUCUGACGGAGCAACGCCGCGUGAGUGAUGAAGGUUUUCGGAUCGUAAAGCUCUGUUGUUAGGGAAGAACAAGUACCGUUCGAAUAGGGCGGUACCUUGACGGUACCUAACCAGAAAGCCACGGCUAACUACGUGCCAGCAGCCGCGGUAAUACGUAGGUGGCAA
rnacentral:rRNA from 1 species